UUGACACUUCAUCACUGAGAGCUUUUCUGCAUUUUAACUGAAAGAUCAACCAGCAAGAAGAUGAUGAUCAUCAGCAGCGUCUGUAUCUGGACACUCAUUCUUUCUGUUCAAGAAACAAGAGGACAAAUUUCAGUGACUCAGACUCCCUCAGCAGCAGCUGUUCAACCAGGAGAAACAGUUACUAUAAAAUGUCAGACUAGCAAAGGAAUUGGAGAUCGUUCAGCGGGAUGUAGUGACUGUUUCUCCUGGUAUCUGCAGAAACCUGGAGGAGCUCCUAAACUCCUCAUUUAUGACAUUAGAUCACGGCAGUCAGGAACUCCAUCUAGAUUCAGUGGCAAUGGAGCAAAUUAUGGAACAGAUUUCACUCUGACCAUCAGUGGAGUCCAGACUGAAGAUGGUGGACAUUAUUACUGUCUGAGUGUACACUACAUCAACAGUAACUGGGUGUUCACACAGUGAUAAAGAGUCGUACAAAAACCUCCGUCAGUCAGAGUCACAGUGACUGAACUGAUUCUGCAGCUGCUCAAACACUAUCACUCACUCAACA